rnacentral:rRNA from 1 species
GAGACCUCAGGUCAGACGGGGUUACCCGCUGAGUUUAAGCAUAUCAAUAAGCGGAGGAA